rnacentral:rRNA from 1 species
GGUAACGGCUCACCAUGGCAAUGAUACGUAGCCGACCUGAGAGGGUAAUCGGCCACAUUGGGACUGAGACACGGCCCAAACUCCUACGGGAGGCAGCAGUAGGGAAUCUUCCACAAUGGACGAAAGUCUGAUGGAGCAACGCCGCGUGAGUGAAGAAGGGUUUCGGCUCGUAAAACUCUGUUGUUAAAGAAGAACAUAUCUGAGAGUAACUGUUCAGGUAUUGACGGUAUUUAACCAGAAAGCCACGGCUAACUACGUGCCAGCAGCCGCGGUAAUACGUAGGUGGCAAGCGUUGUCCGGAUUUAUUGGGCGUAAAGCGAGCGCAGGCGGUUUUUUAAGUCUGAUGUGAAAGCCUUCGGCUCAACCGAAGAAGUGCAUCGGAAACUGGGAAACUUGAGUGCAGAAGAGGACAGUGGAACUCCAUGUGUAGCGGUGAAAUGCGUAGAUAUAUGGAAGAACACCAGUGGCGAAGGCGGCUGUCUGGUCUGUUAACUGACGCUGAGGCUCGA